GAUGAACGCUGGCGGCAUGCCUAAUACAUGCAAGUCGAGCGAACAGAUAAGGAGCUUUCUCCUUUGACGUUAGCGGCGGACGGGUGAGUAACACGUGGGUGACCUACCUAUAAGACUGGGAUAAUUCCGGGGAACCGUGUCUAAUGCCGGAUAACAUUUAGAACCGCAUGGUUCUAGAGUGAAAGAUGGUUUUGCUAUCACUAAUAGAUGGACCCGCGUCGAAUUAGCUAGUUGGUAAGGUAACGGCUUAACAAGGCAACGAUACGUAGCCGCCCUGAGAGCGUGAACGGCUACACUGUAACUGAGAAACGUUACCGACUCCUACGGGAGGAAGCGGUCGGGACUCUUACGGAAUGGAGCAAUGCGUGACAUAGGAACGCCGCGGGAGUGCUGAUGGACUUCUGCUCGUAAAAUUCUGUUAUUCGUGAAGAUGAAAUGUGUAAGUACCUGUGAUCGUAUUGACGGUACCUAAUCAGAAAGCCACGGCUAACUCCGUG
rnacentral:rRNA from 1 species